rnacentral:rRNA from 1 species
AUACAGAGGGUGCGAGCGUUAAUCGGAAUUACUGGGCGUAAAGCGCGCGUAGGCGGUUUGAUCAGUCGGAUGUGAAAUCCCCGGGCUCAACCUGGGAAUUGCAUACGAAACUGUCAAGCUAGAGGAUGGUAGAGGUGAGUGGAAUUCCUGGUGUAGCGGUGAAAUGCGUAGAUAUCAGGAGGAACAUCAGUGGCGAAGGCGACUCACUGGACUAAUACUGACGCUGAGGAGCGAAAGCGUGGGGAGCAAACGGGAUUAGAAACCCCAGUAGUCC